CGGAGGGUGCAAGCGUUGUCCGGAUUUAUUGGGUUUAAAGGGUGCGUAGGCGGCCUUAUAAGUCAGUGGUGAAAGCCCAUCGCUCAACGAUGGAACUGCCAUUGAUACUGUAAGGCUUGAGUACAGACGAGGUAGGCGGAAUUGAUGGUGUAGCGGUGAAAUGCAUAGAUACCAUCAAGAACACCGAUUGCGUAGGCAGCUUACUAGGCUGUAACUGACGCUGAGGCACGAAAGCGUGGGGAGCGAACAGGAUUAGAUACCCUGGUAGUCCACGCUGUAAACGAUGAUUACUCGAUGUUGGCGAUAAACAGUCAGCGUCUUAGCGAAAGCGUUAAGUAAUCCACCUGGGGAGUACGCCCGCAAGGGUG
rnacentral:rRNA from 1 species